rnacentral:misc_RNA from 1 species
GGAAGUAAAAGUAACAAGGUUUCCGUAGGUGAACCUGCGGAAGGAUCAUUAAAGUUAUAGUCCCCCGGCCCUCUGGGCUGGGGUCUUCUAUACCACCCUUUGUUUAUUACACCUUUGUUGCUUUGGCAGGCCUGCCCUCGGGCUGCUGGCUCCGGCCGGCUCGCGUCUGCCAGAGGACCUAAACUCUGUUUGUAUAUGAAGUCUGAGUACUAUAUAAUAGUUAAAACUUUCAACAACGGAUCUCUUGGUUCUG